rnacentral:misc_RNA from 1 species
CCUAGCUUAAGACCGUUGGCCACAAUUGCCUUAAAUUCUUGGCCUUGCUCGUCAAUUAUGCCCUCCGAGUUCACAAAUCGCUUACCAAAUGCAAGCCUUGUUAUGUUGUUGAAUGCAACUGCUCCCAAAUACUUCUUCACUAGCAAACUUUUGCCAUUGGUUUCAGGAUUGGUGCAGUCGUUGAAAAUGGAUUCAACCAUGGCACUGACCUCAUCUUCCCUAAUGGGUUUCAAAGCCU